AAGGGCUCCACCUCUUCCCAUUCCGAACAGAGAAGUUAAACCUUAUCACGCCGAUGGUACUGCGAAAGCGGGAGAGUAGGUAAUCGCCACCU
rnacentral:rRNA from 1 species